AUGUGUUUCACAAGCAGAGGACAGUCCAUACCCCAGGGAACACUGAGGUUCACUGGAGAACAUGGGUUACUGGAGUUGGUGGUGUCUCCUUGGAUUACCGCAGAAGUCUUUCUUCAUCCUCUUGUGAUUUUUAUUUUCAGACAUCCCAUCCAACUACUGUCUCCUGUUUGCUCCAUAGAAUAUUUGAACACUUCUCUUGAAAUCUUCUGUCUGCCUUCUGACAUGUAUCUGACCGGAGUCAUCCUGCUAACAACUGUGUGAACGAAGAGCAGAAAAGGCAGCUUCACCCCAGAGAACUCAUCGCAUGUCAGAUAGCGUAUGGAGCUGGUGGACCAACACAGGCAAGGAGAAGGUGAGAAGGGAAAAGUGAUAGCAGUGAGCACUGACCACAAGGCCAUCAGCCACUCUCAUGGCACAUCAGACACCUGGCUGCCUGCCUUUGUGAAGGCUGAGGAUGAUACAAAUACUCAUGGGCACCGAGGAGGAUGGUUUGGACUACAUGGUUUGUUUUUCAGACUUACAGUAAAAAGGCUUGAAAAAGGCAGUAAGGAUGUUAAUCCUCCAUGAGCAAGGGAGUCCAUAAGGUUGUGUACAUGAUGUAUGGAUGUAUCAGAGAAAAAAUUGUUGAGGUUUUAAUAAAACAAGAAAUGUGUUAAUUACUAGUCA
rnacentral:lncRNA from 1 species